rnacentral:rRNA from 1 species
AUGCAAGUCGAGGGGUAACGGAAGUAGCUUGCUACUAGACGACGACCGGCGCACGGGUGAGUAACGCGUAUGUAAUCUGCCUUGUACAGAGGGAUAGCCCAGAGAAAUUUGGAUUAAUACCUCAUAGUAUUACCGAAUCGCAUGAUUUGGUAAUUAAAGCUCCGGCGGUACAAGAUGAACAUGCGUGACAUUAGCUAGUUGGUAAGGUAACGGCUUACCAAGGCUACGAUGUCUAGGGGUUCUGAGAGGAUGAUCCCCCACACUGGUACUGAGACACGGACCAGACUCCUACGGGAGGCAGCAGUGAGGAAUAUUGGUCAAUGGACGCAAGUCUGAACCAGCCAUCCCGCGUGAAGGAUGACUGCCCUAUGGGUUGUAAACUUCUUUUAUAUGCAAAUAAACCUACUUUCGUGAAAGUA